UACAGAGGGUGCGAGCGUUAAUCGGAAUUACUGGGCGUAAAGCGUGCGUAGACGGUUAUUUAAGUCGGGUGUGAAAGCCCCGGGCUUAACCUGGGAACUGCGCUUGUUACUGGCAGACUGGAGUGUGGCAGAGGGGGGGUGGAAUUCCAGGUGUAGCAGUGAAAUGCGUAGAUAUCUGGAGGAACACCGAUGGCGAAGGCAGCCCCCUGGGCUAACACUGACGCUGAUGCACGAAAGCGUGGGGAGCAAACAGG
rnacentral:rRNA from 1 species